AUUGAACGCUGGCGGCAGGCCUAACACAUGCAAGUCGAACGAGUGGCGGACGGGUGAGUAAUGUCUGGGAAACUGCCUGAUGGAGGGGGAUAACUACUGGAAACGGUAGCUAAUACCGCAUACCAUCGGAUGUGCCCAGAUGGGAUUAGCUAGUUGGUGGGGUAACGGCUCACCAAGGCGACGAUCCCUAGCUGGUCUGAGAGGAUGACCAGCCACACUGGAACUGAGACACGGCCCAGACUCCUACGGGAGGCAGCAGUGGGGAAUAUUGCACAAUGGGCGAAAGUCUGACGGAGCAACGCCGCGUGUAUGAAGAAGGUUUUCGGGUCGUAAAGUACUGUCAGUAGGGAGGCGGUAUCUGACGAAGAAGCACCGGCUAACUACGUGCCAGCAGCCGCGGUAAUUC
rnacentral:rRNA from 1 species